UUGGGGGCGGUUCCCUGCCAGUGCCCUCUAGCGUUGGCGCCCGAAACCCGGUUCCACUCCUGCCGGAAGCGGGCCCAGCCUGCUGCUUUUCGGGAUGGGAACUUCAGCCUGCCACGUGAGGCUGUGGAGGGCCUUCUAUAAGAGCGGACCUGUGGGCGGGAGAGAACGCAGAGAACGCUGUUAAAAGCCGGACCUUCCGGUGUAGCGGAGCUCUGGCGGGGCUUACUGGAAUCGUGGCGGAAAUCACUGCGAGCUCCUGCCGAGUUCCUGCCACCGGCCCGGGGCGAUCUCCGGGCGGGUCUGAGGCGGCUGCCUGUGCCGCCCUUAAAGGCGGGGCUCACGCCCUGGCACAGCGACCCGGCAGCGUAUCCAACAGGGUCCGAUUCAACCUCAGCGGCCCCUACUUCCUCACCACUGGGCAGACGCUGUGCCGGGACCGAAAUCCUUCCUGUACCGCUUGUGCCAGGCCAACCCGACCCGGACUCGGACAAGGAUGAAACAGGUGCCUAUUUAAUCGACAGAGACCCCACCUAUUUUGGGCCCGUGCUGAACUACCUGAGACAUGGCAAGCUGGUGAUUAACAAAGACCUCGCAGAGGAAGGCGGACUUCUCCGUGAGCAGCUCUGGAGAAACGUACUGCGCUGUUCCCACGAAUGAGUUGGCCCUGGCUGCAGAGGAGAGAGAAGGUCACACUCGGACUCACGAUCUGUGACAAUCAAGGGCUGCGUGGUGGGUGUCGCACAUGGCCGACCAUGCAUCCCCAGGAGCCAGACUUGUCCAGGCCACACCGGGGCUGGCUCGCGGCUCACCUGCUCAAAGACGCCUGCCUGACACCUGGACACUGGCACCCUCCACCCUGGCGCUCCCACCCGACACGCGCCUGGAGAGCGAGCUGCACACCAAUGUCCAGCGCAUUCUGCCGGUGGCACCCGCUCAACGGAAGGCAUGAGGACACGGUCCUGGCUGGCUCACUGCAGGACUUGGGGUAUCCAAACGUGCCCAGGCACACAACAAACAGUGGCAGGCCAGAAACAACCUCCUUUCCAUCACAAACAGCUUGGGAGCUGAGGCGCUACAAAGGGAACAAGACUCGGGCCUCCAGCCCAAGGGCCUUCCUCUACAGAGGAGCUGUGACAGAGCAGAGCCACAGCACGAGCUGGCCCGGGACCACCACACAGCUGCUGUCCACACCGGCCCUGCCCGUGGCCGGUUCUGAGUUGUCCCUUCCACCUGCCCUCCUCCGGCCAGGCUGAGAGAACCUCACAGCCUCUGCUGCGGGGACCCGUUCCCUUCAGUGAAUGACUUUUUUGCGGACUUCAUGACUGCCCAGGUGCGGGGGCUCACGCCUGCAGUCCCACUGCUUUGGGAGGCCAAGGCAGGAGGACUGCUCGAGGCCAGGAGUUUGAGACCAGCCUGAACAACAUAGUGAGACUCCGUGUCUAGAAGGAAUUUCAAGAAUUAGCCAGGCAUGGUGGUGCACCUCUAGUCUCAGCUACUUGGGAGGCUGAGAAAGGAGGAUCGCUUGAGCCCAGGAAGCUGAGGGUGCGGUCAGCCACAAUUGCGCCACUGUACUCUAGCCUAGGCAAUAGAGCCAGACCCUGUCUCAAAAAAUAAACAAAAAACAAAGACUCCAUGGCUGCAUGUGCAUCCUGCCAGGACCCUCAGUGAUCCUGCCAAGAACACCAAGGACAUCCGCAAACACGCACCCGCCCCCGCCGGCCUAGAGGAAAGCAAACCAAACCAAGAGCCAAAAACAAACGAAGCCAUUCAGCCCUGCAAUGAAUCAAAGAAAUGCAAAUUAGAACACGACAGCCUAUCACAUUGGCAAAGGGGAAAAAGAAUAAAAAUACAUAGCGCUGGCAGGGAUCUGAGGGGACAGACGCAGCGCCACGGGUGGGGCUGUAAAAUGGCAUCGCUUCUGGGGGCAAUUUUCCCAUGAGCAUCAGAAGUCACAAAGAUGUUUGCCUCCCUGACCCUGCAGUUCCCUCUCCAUGCCAGAUCUGUCCUUCAGGGUCCGGUGUGGCACGGUGACGAGGGCUGCGUCUGCUGGCGGGACGGGACGCCACCCGCUCCACCUUACCUAUUCAGUGUUUCUGUUCUUUACUAUCAUCGAGCGUUGCUUUUGUGACUUGUAUUUUUUUAAAUGCCAUUAUUAAAAAGUCUAAAAAUGUGUCUUUCUCCUAUGGAGAGAUGUAUACAAUGCAUAAUUAAAUGAUUGAGGUUGUCGUGCAGCACACAGAGCCCUAUGUGUUUUUAAACAGCAACGCUGUGCACAGAGCAAGUCUGUGCACCAACACUCGCCCCAUCUCUCAGACGAGCGCUACAUAGUGAGCUGCCGCGCUGGUAGGGCCCUCGUUGCUGCUACCGCUGCUGCUGUUCUCAGCUUCCUGCAACCGGACUCUGGGCUCGGAUCUCCCGGAAUCACUCCCUGCCCUCUCCACCCUCAGCUCCUCCUAGCUCCCC